rnacentral:lncRNA from 10 species
GUUGGUAGCUCCCUUGGUCUGCAGGGAGUGGGUAUGAGAAUCGGGAGUCACCAGGAUGCAGGAAGGAUGGGGACUUAAACUUCUUGGGGACCAGAACCAAGAGUACCAGGCCUGGAGUAAGACAGACCUGGGCUGUCUCUACAGCUUAUAACUGCGUGACCUUCAGCAAGUCAAUGAACCUCUCCAGCUCGGUUUCCUCAUCUGUCAAAUGGGGACAGUAAUAGUAACCCCCCUCAUAGGGUUGUUGUGAGGACUAAAUGAGAUAGAGCAGAUCAAGUGGUGAUAAUAAAAAGACCCUUUAGGCCAUGCGCGGUGGCUCACCCCUGUAAUCCCAGCGCUUUGGAAGGCCGAGGCGGGUGGAUCACCUGAGGUCAGGAGUUUGAGACUAGCCUGGCCAACAUGGUCAUGGACUAAUAAUAUAAAAAUUAGCACAUGCCUGUAAUCCCAGCUACUCCAGAGGCUGAGGCAGAGGAAUUGCUUGAACCCAGGAGGUGGAGGUUGCAGUGGGCCAAGAUCACGCCAUUGCACUCCAGCCUGGGCAACAAGAGCAAAACUCUGUCUCAAAAAAUAAAAAAAAUAAAAACCCUCUAGCCACUUCAGCUAUAGGGUCAGGCCAUGGUAGGGGCCCUGCUGCUUCCUUAGGGCAUUGGCAACUCCCCACACAGGGACAUAGAGGCUGGGUCCAUCCAUCCUAGAAAGGUUUGGGCCCAGGGCCAGGUGGGCAGGAACAGGGCGUACUGAGCAUUCUGCUCCCUGCAUUCCUAAAAGCGAGUGACAACCAUGCUGGACUGCACACUCUCCUUGCCAGGACCACAUAAUCUUCCCAACAGCCUGGUGGGGUAGGUACUUUAGCCUCUCCUUGUAGAUGAGGAAACUAAGGCUCAGAGAGCCAUGAUGACCUGCUUGAAGUCACAAAGAUAGGGUGUGGAAAAGUCAGGAUUUAAACUCAGGUCCAACUGCAAAGCUGUGGUCCUGCCACUGCAGUGCCAUGCUCCUCUCAAGAAAUCAUGUCACUGUGGCAGGGAGAUGGGGACUAGUAAGGGGAAGGUCAUUUCCUACUUACCCUGCCUCAGUGGUGUGAGAGAAGAGAUAUUCAUUCAUUCAACAAGCAUUUAUUGGCCGGGCACGGUGGCUCAUGCCUAUAAUCCCAGCACCUUGGGAGGCCGAGCCAGGUGGAUCACCUGAGGUCAGGAGUUCAAGACCGGCUUGGCCAACAUGGCAAAACCCCAUCUCUACCAAAGAUACGAAAAUUAGCCAGGCAUAGCGGUGCACCCCUGUAAUCCCAGCUACUCGGGAGGCUGAGGCCCAAGAAUCGCUUGAACCCAGGAGGCAGAGGUUGCAGUGAGCCGAGAUCAUGCCAUUGCACUCUAGCCUGGGUGACAGAGCGAGACUCCAUCUCGAAACAAACAAACAAACAACAAUAAGCAUUUAUUGAGCACCUACUAUGUGCAGAUACUAAGCUGGGGGUAGGUGCUUCAUAGAUGAAUAUGAUGCGAUCCCUGCCCUUGAAGAGUUCCAACCACUGGGAGAGGCAGAGAAAAGACAUGGCCAGUUAGGGAGAUACAUGGUCUGCUGAGGGUCUGACCCCAGGGUACAGGAGCUCCAAGGAGGGAAGCCUUCUCAGAGGAGGUGGCUGGAGUUGUUUUGCACCAUGAGUAGGAGUUUGCCAAGUGGAGAAGAAGAAGGGCACUCCAGACAGAGGUGAAAAAACAGGUGGGGCCAGGUGUUUUUUUUUUAACCUCCCUGCCCGCUUCUCUACUUGCCAGAAGUUGCCCCAUACUAGGGCCUCACCUGGGGCAAGCAGAUCAUGGUUAUUCUGGCCCUGGGGGCACAGAAGGCUCCACCGGAGUCCAAGUCCAUGAGGCAGCAGCCACUGUAGCACUCAGAGUGGUGGAAGCACCUGUCUGUGAUUUUCUGUGGGGACAGGCAGAAUGUCUGCCAGGCUGGGAGCAAUCCCUGAGUCGUGUGGGCGGGUAGGGGAGGGUUCCCACCAUUGCCAAAGAGCCCAGGGAUCCAGGAGAAGUCAUGAGGUUGUCACCCCUUGGGGGGCUGGUUCCCCCCCCAGCCCCACCCCGGCCCCUCAGCAGGACCCAGGGCAGCAGAGAGGAGGAGAGGGGGAUUAGCACUUUUCCCUCGGCCUCUCCUUUCCUGGACCCCCCUCACCUCCAUGAGUCCCAUGGGGUGUGUACUCUUAAGUCCCAUUUUGCGGGGCAGGGUUGGGGGAUGAGAAUGAAGGGGCUGCGGGCUCGAAAAAGAGGGAGAGAAAGAGGAGAAAAGGGGAGAGCCCUCGUGCCUGGAAGAAUCACUAGACAGUGAGAGGAGGUGGAAGAAGAGGAGGAGAAACCAGAGCAUGCAGGACGGAGUCUCGCACUGUCGCCCAGUGCAGUGGCGUGAUCUCGGCUCACUGCCAUCUCCGCCUCCCAGGUUCAAGUGAUCCUCCUGCCUCAGCCUCCCGAGUAGCUGGGACUACAGGUGUGCGCCACCACGCCGGGAUAAUUUUAAAAAUUUCUGUAGAGACGGGGGUCUCCCCAUGUCGCCCAGGCUGGUCUCUAACUCCUGGCCUCAAGUGAUGGUCCUGCUUCAGCCUCCCAAAGUGCUGGGAUUACAGGUGUGAGCCACCGCACCUGGCCUCAAAACUUUAUUUUUAUAAACGGCACAAAACAUAUAUGCUGAAAUAAAAAGAGCUUCCUUCCUGAUGUUGAUUCU